CGUUUUUAUACGCCCGGUUUGUGACAUAUUAUGGUAUACCUUUUUGCGUUGUCCGUCCGUGGUCAACAUGUCAGAAUAUAGCUCAUGGUGAAGCUAUUUUAAAGACAUUUCAGCAUGUCAAUAAUAUAUAACAAGCUAAUAACCAGACCUCAGGCUUGCAAGCUGGUCUUAAAUUUGAACAAUAAUCUAGAGGGAUAGAGAGAGAAAAAAAAAGGAUUAAUAUAAAAAAAAAAACCGGAAUAGGAGAAAAAACUAUACAACACCAUGACUAAAAGACAAACAACAUUACAUAGAAAAACUUGAAAGAGCUAAUUAAAUACACCAAAAACCAGGGGUGAACAGAUGUGUUACUAAAGAGUUAGCAGUUCUUGCUCAACUAAUGAUGCUUAACAUACUAGGUUAUCCCAAAUAUGUGAUAUAGUGUAUAAUAAUGACAUAAAACCCCACAUAUACAUGAAAACCUGAAACACAGGCAUGGUGAUUUUAUUGCUGUUUUUCAUCUUAAGGUUUCACUGGGGCUUUUCUUAACUUGUUACUUGCAUUAAAGGACAGAAUUUUUCUUUGUUAAACAAAGAAA
rnacentral:lncRNA from 1 species